GAGUGGUGCCAGCCAGCACCCAGCUUCAGGGUGAUGGGAGGGGAGAUUGUUUCUGCAAGUGAUUCAGCCUCGAUGUUUGCGUGGUGCCUGGCCUGGCUCUGCCGUGAGCUCUGGGCAGGCUCUGAGUGUGGAGCUGUGGGUGCCUGGAUGAGCUGUGAGGCACAACCUGAGCAAAGCAACAGCAAAGAGCAGAGCGUGAUGCUGGAGGUCAGUGCCCGCUCUCUUCAGAAGGAUGGGAAAGGCUUCCAGCGUGGUGAGACCUACCGUGGGAUGGCAACAGGGAACGCGCCUCUGGAAACGGUGA
rnacentral:lncRNA from 1 species